GGAGAAUUGAAACAAAGAAAACAUCUUACAUUUCAUUCUGAAACUAUGGAGGACUGCUUUUAUGAAGAGACUUGGGUCAGAAUGCACUCAAAGAGAAAAUCAGGUUGCUAUGGGUCUCUUCAUUGAUUUCAGAAAAAUGGACGUACCUACAGCACAUAAUGCCAUCAGAAGGAUGUGGGCUAGUAACUUAAAGUCCAGGAGGAAACAGAAUGGGAGGACGGAGGAUACAAAGAGAAGGCAGCACAUCUCCAGGGACAAGCUUUGCAGCAGACACAGAUUCCUAGGACUGGAGCAGAUGGGGAGCCACAGCCAGAACACUCCAUUCUACAAAUGAGGACUAGGCAGCAGGGCAAGAAGAAUGGUGGCUGUGCUGAAGUAAAUGGAGUGAUUGAAAACAGGUAAAGUUUGUGAUGAGAAACCAUGAGGACAGAAUCUUAAACAGCACUUUGGAGGAGGAUAUGCCUUUCAUUUAGGAGCAAGGGCUUAGAACAUUGAAAUGAGUGUUUGCAGAAGUAAGAGUCCCUAUGGUCCACUUACACUAUCCUAAACCCCAAAUCAACAAUCUCCAACCCUUGGAAUCUUUCAGCUUUCUUUCCUCUUUCUCAGCAGCUCCUUUUCUACACCUACCUUUGGAGUUGG